GUCUUGAAAAUAGUUGUUUUACUGAUGCGUGGUUUUAAACGGCAUUCUAUUCUAGUUCUGAUCUUAAAUACCGUUUUAAUGUAGGAAUUGAUAAAGCUACACUGUAAGAUGUGAAUACCAUCAACAAGCUGGCCAACAACAAAACUUUAACAAUGGAUUUGCACGCAAAAUCACAACUUAAAUGUCUCACGGAAUGGACUUGUCUUCAUUCAAUACUGCAAUUCCAUCGUACUAAACUGGAGGCGAUUCCGAGCCCACUGUUGACUGCGGUCAAGUGUGCCGACAGUCGCAAAACGCGGUCAGGCCAUCUGCUCUUCAGUUUCUUCCUGAAUUUGCGUGCGUGAAUACAAUUUACGGAAUGGCGUUUUUUCAGGAGAGAGACCAGACUCUCCUUCUGACAGCAGGAAGAGUCCUUCAGGGAAACCAGACCCCGAGACGUCCAAACCAGCAGGCCGACAUCACUGCUCCCAGUGUGGAAAGAGUUUUACUCAGUUAGGGAGCCUGAGAAUACAUAAGAGAAUACACACUGGAGAGAAGCCUUACCACUGUUCCCAAUGCGGAAUGACGUUUACCCAGUUAGAGAGCCUGCAAAACCAUGAGAGGGGACACACAGGGGAAAAGCUUUUGUUCCCAUUGUGGAAAGAGUUUUGGCCAGGUAGGAAACCUGAACAAGCAUGUGAGGACACACACAGGUAAGAAGAUGUACCGCUGCUUCCAGUGUGGAGAGAGAUUUACCCGGUUAAGGUACCUGAAAGAGCAUGAACGAAUACAUACAAAUACACAGGAGGAGACAUACCACUGCUCUCAUUGUGGAAAGACAUUUUCCCAGUCAGAGAACCUGAAAACACAUGAGAGAAUCAAGAGGCUGUGUUCUGACUUGUGUUUUUGACUGAGAAUUUGUGUUUUUGUUUGGGCUGUCAGACUUCAGUUCACUUUGUGUAAUGUUAGUGCACUAUUUUUUAAUUGUGAUUAACCCAUUGUCUGAAAAGGUUAAAAACACACUGAAAACAUCCAAAAUACAUACUAUAUACCGCUAACAUCUACAAUGCCAUGUAAAAACAAGAUGACAUUGAGGUUAAAUAAAGUGUGCUUUAUCAAUGGAA